GCAAAAUGGAUACUUGGGUUCUUCCAAGUCAGUUGCUCCUCAUUGCACUGUGCACCUGCAAUGUCCUUUGCUUUCCUGCGAAAAAAGGCUGGCGCCAGCGUGAUCCUUAUGAAGGCAGUUUGUCUAACAUGGAGGGCCGUGCUAGCAUCCAUUAUCGCUCGACCCAAGGUGCUACUGCACAGCCUUCCAGUGUGAGUGACCCGGCUGUGGCGGACAAAGUGUAUUCGAGUCCUGGCGCCUAUCCAGCAAGCUCCAACCUUACUCCGGACUUGUCCAGUGAGGCUUCAUUGAAUGCUCCUCCUGUUUGGGAUCCUCUGGAAGAAUCUACAACCGCAUCCAGAUACACUCAGCCCACACCGCACCCUCCCCUUUUCCUUCAAGCAGGCGAGCCUGAACAC